rnacentral:rRNA from 2 species
CUCUGGUAUUGAUUGGUGCUUGCAUCAUGAUUUACAUUUGAGUGAGUGGCGAACUGGUGAGUAACACGUGGGAAACCUGCCCAGAAGCGGGGGAUAACACCUGGAAACAGAUGCUAAUACCGCAUAACAACUUGGACCGCAUGGUCCGAGUUUGAAAGAUGGCUUCGGCUAUCACUUUUGGAUGGUCCCGCGGCGUAUUAGCUAGAUGGUGGGGUAACGGCUCACCAUGGCAAUGAUACGUAGCCGACCUGAGAGGGUAAUCGGCCACAUUGGGACUGAGACACGGCCCAAACUCCUACGGGAGGCAGCAGUAGGGAAUCUUCCACAAUGGACGAAAGUCUGAUGGAGCAACGCCGCGUGAGUGAAGAAGGGUUUCGGCUCGUAAAACUCUGUUGUUAAAGAAGAACAUAUCUGAGAGUAACUGUUCAGGUAUUGACGGUAUUUAACCAGAAAGCCACGGCUAACUACGUGCCAGCAGCCGCGGUAAUACGUAGGUGGCAAGCGUUGUCCGGAUUUAUUGGGCGUAAAGCGAGCGCAGGCGGUUUUUUAAGUCUGAUGUGAAAGCCUUCGGCUCAACCGAAGAAGUGCAUCGGAAACUGGGAAACUUGAGUGCAGAAGAGGACAGUGGAACUCCAUGUGUAGCGGUGAAAUGCGUAGAUAUAUGGAAGAACACCAGUGGCGAAGGCGGCUGUCUGGUCUGUAACUGACGCUGAGGCUCGAAAGUAUGGGUAGCAAACAGGAUUAGAUACCCUGGUAGUCCAUACCGUAAACGAUGAAUGCUAAGUGUUGGAGGGUUUCCGCCCUUCAGUGCUGCAGCUAACGCAUUAAGCAUUCCGCCUGGGGAGUACGGCCGCAAGGCUGAAACUCAAAGGAAUUGACGGGGGCCCGCACAAGCGGUGGAGCAUGUGGUUUAAUUCGAAGCUACGCGAAGAACCUUACCAGGUCUUGACAUACUAUGCAAAUCUAAGAGAUUAGACGUUCCCUUCGGGGACAUGGAUACAGGUGGUGCAUGGUUGUCGUCAGCUCGUGUCGUGAGAUGUUGGGUUAAGUCCCGCAACGAGCGCAACCCUUAUUAUCAGUUGCCAGCAUUAAGUUGGGCACUCUGGUGAGACUGCCGGUGACAAACCGGAGGAAGGUGGGGAUGACGUCAAAUCAUCAUGCCCCUUAUGACCUGGGCUACACACGUGCUACAAUGGAUGGUACAACGAGUUGCGAACUCGCGAGAGUAAGCUAAUCUCUUAAAGCCAUUCUCAGUUCGGAUUGUAGGCUGCAACUCGCCUACAUGAAGUCGGAAUCGCUAGUAAUCGCGGAUCAGCAUGCCGCGGUGAAUACGUUCCCGGGCCUUGUACACACCGCCCGUCACACCAUGAGAGUUUGUAACACCCAAAGUCGGUGGGGUAACCUUUUAGGAACCAGCCGCCUAAGGUGGGACAGAUGA